AAUUACUAAGGCUCUGCCUUGCAAUGACGAUGCCCCUGCAAUACGGGGGCUCGCCAAAACGCGCUGGCGCAGUCCCGUGGUGAGCGACGUAGCGACAUACGCAGCGAACCGACGGUGAAGGCCGCCCGUCAAACUCCAAA
rnacentral:misc_RNA from 1 species